ensembl:lncRNA
AAAAGCUUUUCCUCAUUUAGUUUGUGUUGCGUCGUCAGUCUGAUCGGUGUGCUGUGAGUCCUCUGGUAAGAGUCAUUGCUGCCCCGUCGGCCUGCACCUCCUCCCUAGUUUAACAAGCCAUCCACAUCGCCCCCUCUUAUAAACAUUGCACGCCACUAUUAAAGUUCACACAGGUGGCAAAUUGCCUGUCCACCUCUCAUCACCGGGCCGCCGCCGCCGCCGCUCCUCCGGAGGCCUCGUCGUGCUCCUCACUGCUAAUUGAUUUGGAAGCCGCUUUUCAGCCGAGUAAGCAGACCCAGAAGAGGGACGCGUCCUCCUGAGAGACGGUUCGAUGAAGGGAAACCGUGCACGGAGACGACGCGAGAGCUAAAAGGCCACAAAGAUUCGCUCCUUGAGAUGCAGCUCUUUGCUCCGCCUGCGAAGGUCACCACCCUGAAGGUCACC